GAUGAACGCUGGCGGCGUGCCUAAUACAUGCAAGUCGAGCGGCCGCACGAGUAUCUUGCUUCUCUGAUUUUAGCGCCGCACGGGUGAGUAACACGUGGAUAACCUACCUAUUAGACUGGGAUAUCUUCGGGACACCGGAGCUAAUAUCGGACGAUAUUUUGAACCGCAUGGUUCCUUAGUGAUAGACGCUCUUGCUGUCACUUAUAGACGUAUCCGCGCUGCAUUAGCUAGUUGGUAAGGUAACGGCAUACCAAGGCAACGAUGCAUAGCCGAACUGAGAGGGUGAUCGGCCACACUGGAACUGAGACACGGUCCAGACUCCUACGGUAGGCAGCAGAAGGGAAUCUUACACAAUGGGCGAAAGCCUGACGGAGCAACGCCGCGUGAGGGAUGGAAGUAUUCGGAUCGUAAAACUCUGUUAUUAGUAAAGAACAUAUGUGUAAUGAACUGUGCACAUCUUGACGGUACCUAAUCAGAAAGCCACGGCUAACUACGUG
rnacentral:rRNA from 1 species